AAAGAGGAAGGUAAUAUAUGUAUUUAUUAUCGUUGUGUGAAUGAAUAAACUGGUUAUACAGGUUUUUGAAGGUGAUAUAUGUCCAAUGGUGCGGAAAUCAAGAUUUCCUCGUGCACAGAUUUGUAGGUUUAGUCAUUCGACAGGCAAGCAGGGUAGAGCGAAGACUUGAUUUAAAUCGUUUUAUUUAUUUAUGCUCUGUUUGUGUGUUGAUGUUAAUAUUAUGUUUUAUGUGUUUCAGUGAGUUUUAUGAGAGCAGACGGAUGACUGACUUGAGAUAGAAAGGGGCAUUGGUUCCGGACAUUUUAUCAUGGGAUUUACAUAGUUUUCUAAAAAGAAUACUUAACGUUUACGAUAUAGUAACAGCUGAUUAUUUGUAGAUUUCUCUAAAAUUAGAGGCUUCAGGAGGUGAUGAAGGCACCUAGACACCGGUCUUGAGCCAUGGGUCCUCAUACGUCCCCCUGCCAUUAAAAGAAAAAUGAAAAAUGAGCAGUAGGGUUGCGUAUCCCGCUCGCGGUUACACCUGAAUCGUUCGUUACCACCGAUUAUUGUUUGGGGUGUACGUGAAGUCAUGUGCACUUCUCUUAAUUGAUGGUAAUGAAUAAAUCUUGUAAUUAUCGCAGCUGCUUUUAUCAAAACUAAUGCCUCACUUUUAUGUACUUUUCGCAAAUAGGCGUUGUGGAUGGGCAUAGGGGGCGUCCUCGGUGCGCUUUGGGCAUCGGCGGCGGACGGGCGGUUGUAAGGGCCGUGGCAUCCUUGGUUGGGCUUGUGAUUUUGAAUUGUGUAGUUAAAUUGUGCAAUUGUAUGAUUUUGAGUUUAGGCUUGACGUCUGAUGGGUAUUAAUAAUAUUCAAUUAUUCACAUGUAACGCAUGAGCAUGUUUAAUGAUACGUAUAACGACGUGUUCUACAGAAUGGAUUUAGUAUCGUUUCAGUUCUUAAAUUUAUGAGAAGGAUGUCGCAACGUUUACUGACGUCUCGAGACUCUUCAACUGAGCGGUGCCAUUGGGGUCGAUAUCUGUUGCUCAUUGAACACAUACGAUCGUCAGAAGAUUUGUUUCUUGCAUUUAUGUGUAGAAAGCCCUGUCAGAUACAAACACCCACUCCGUGCGUGUGUUUCAAGAAAUAAAAUACCCUGCUUGUCAUGACACCUAAACAAAUGUGUUUGUUUUUAUUCUAAAUGGUUAGAUGAUAAAUAAUUUAUGUUUGUCAUAAAAUGUAAUGGAAUAUAAAACAUAAAUAUGUGUAUGAAUUUAAUGUUUUUUUUUAUGUAAAUACCAUUAAUUCUGUUAAUAUGUAUUUUAUUGUAAUUAUUAUUUCAUUUGGAUGUUUGUUAUGAUUGACGCAGACAGUAGACUGCCGAGAUUCUUAGCCAAAGAAAGAAAAUGUAUUGAAAAAUA